rnacentral:rRNA from 1 species
ACACUGAGGCGUGAUGACGAGGCACUACGGUGCUGAAGCAACAAAUGCCCUGCUUCCAGGAAAAGCCUCUAAGCAUCAGGUAACACGAAAUCGUACCCCAAACCGACACAGGUGGUCAGGUAGAGAAUACCAAGGCGCUUGAGAGAACUCGGGUGAAGGAACUAGGCAAAAUGGUGCCGUAACUUCGGGAGAAGGCACGCUGACACGUAGGUGAAGUGAUUUACUCAUGGAGCUGAAGUCAGUCGAAGAUACCAGCUGGCUGCAACUGUUUAUUAAAAACACAGCACUGUGCAAACACGAAAGUGGACGUAUACGGUGUGACGCCUGCCCGGUGCCGGAAGGUUAAUUGAUGGGGUCAGCGCAAGCGAAGCUCCUGAUCGAAGCCCCGGUAAACGGCGGCCGUAACUAUAACGGUCCUAAGGUAGCGAAAUUCCUUGUCGGGUAAGUUCCGACCUGCACGAAUGGCGUAAUGAUGGCCAGGCUGUCUCCACCCGAGACUCAGUGAAAUUGAACUCGCUGUGAAGAUGCAGUGUACCCGCGGCAAGACGGAAAGACCCCGUGAACCUUUACUAUAGCUUGACACUGAACAUUGAGCCUUGAUGUGUAGGAUAGGUGGGAGGCUUUGAAGUGUGGACGCCAGUCUGCAUGGAGCCGACCUUGAAAUACCACCCUUUAAUGUUUGAUGUUCUAACGUGGACCCGUAAUCCGGGUUGCGGACAGUGUCUGGUGGGUAGUUUGACUGGGGCGGUCUCCUCCUAAAGAGUAACGGAGGAGCACGAAGGUUGGCUAAUCCUGGUCGGACAUCAGGAGGUUAGUGCAAUGGCAUAAGCCAGCUUGACUGCGAGCGUGACGGCGCGAGCAGGUGCGAAAGCAGGUCAUAGUGAUCCGGUGGUUCUGAAUGGAAGGGCCAUCGCUCAACGGAUAAAAGGUACUCCGGGGAUAACAGGCUGAUACCGCCCAAGAGUUCAUAUCGACGGCGGUGUUUGGCACCUCGAUGUCGGCUCAUCACAUCCUGGGGCUGAAGUAGGUCCCAAGGGUAUGGCUGUUCGCCAUUUAAAGUGGUACGCGAGCUGGGUUUAGAACGUCGUGAGACAGUUCGGUCCCUAUCUGCCGUGGGCGCUGGAGAACUGAGGGGGGCUGCUCCUAGUACGAGAGGACCGGAGUGGACGCAUC